GAUGAAGACACGUAGCGAAAUGCGAUAAGUAAUGUGAAUUGCAGAAUUCAGUGAAUCAUCGAAUCUUUGAACGCACCUUGCGCUCUUUGGUAUUCCGAAGAGCAUGCCUGUUUGAGUGUCAUGAAAAUAUCAACCUUGACUUGGGUUUUGUGCUCUAGUCUCGGCUUGGAAUUGGGUGCUUGCCGCUUUUACGAGCGGCUCACCUUAAAUGUAUUAGCUGGAUCUGUCUUUGAGACUUGGUUUGACUUGGCGUAAUAAGUAUUUCGCUAAGGACAUUCUUCGGAGUGGCCUCGUUUCUAGGACGCUUGUCCGCUUUCCAAUACAAGUUCCACCUCGUGGACAUGACUUUUUAUUAUCUGGCCUCAAAUCAGGUAGGACUACCCGCUGAACUUAAGCAUAUCAAUAAGCGGAGGA
rnacentral:misc_RNA from 1 species